rnacentral:rRNA from 1 species
UACGAAGGGGGCUAGCGUUGCUCGGAAUUACUGGGCGUAAAGGGAGCGUAGGCGGACAUUUAAGUCAGAGGUGAAAUCCCGGAGCUUAACUUCGGAACUGCCUUUGAUACUGGGUGUCUUGAGUGUGAGAGAGGUAUGUGGAACUCCGAGUGUAGAGGUGAAAUUCGUAGAUAUUCGGAAGAACACCAGUGGCGAAGGCGACAUACUGGCUCAUUACUGACGCUGAGGCUCGAAAGCGUGGGGAGCAAACAGGAUUAGAUACCCUGGUAGUCCACGCCGUAAACGAUGAUUGCUAGUUGUCGGGAAGCUUGCUUCUCGGUGACGCAGCUAACGCAUUAAGCAAUCCGCCUGGGGAGUACGGUCGCAAGAUUAAA